rnacentral:rRNA from 1 species
GAUGAACGCUGGCGGCGUGCCUAAUACAUGCAAGUCGAACGCACAGCGAAAGGUGCUUGCACCUUUCAAGUGAGUGGCGAACGGGUGAGUAACACGUGGACAACCUGCCUCAAGGCUGGGGAUAACAUUUGGAAACAGAUGCUAAUACCGAAUAAAACUUAGUGUCGCAUGACACAAAGUUAAAAGGCGCUUCGGCGUCACCUAGAGAUGGAUCCGCGGUGCAUUAGUUAGUUGGUGGGGUAAAGGCCUACCAAGACAAUGAUGCAUAGCCGAGUUGAGAGACUGAUCGGCCACAUUGGGACUGAGACACGGCCCAAACUCCUAUGGGAGGCUGCAGUAGGGAAUCUUCCACAAUGGGCGAAAGCCUGAUGGAGCAACGCCGCGUGUGUGAUGAAGGCUUUCGGGUCGUAAAGCACUGUUGUAUGGGAAGAACAGCUAGAAUAGGAAAUGAUUUUAGUUUGACGGUACCAUACCAGAAAGGGACGGCUAAAUACGU